rnacentral:tRNA from 1 species
AGCGGGGUAGAGUAAUUGGUUAACUCGUUAGGUUCAUGUUCUAAAAUUGUAGGUUCAAAUCUUACCCCCGUAU